rnacentral:rRNA from 2 species
UUUAACUGAAGAGUUUGAUCAUGGCUCAGAUUGAACGCUGGCGGCAGGCUUAACACAUGCAAGU